rnacentral:rRNA from 1 species
CAGUAUGCUAUUGGUCCGCUAAGCCUGCGAGUCGAGAGGGUUCGGCCCUCGGCGAACUGCUCAGUAACACGUGGAUAAUCUAACCUUAGGUGGAGCAUAACCUCGGGAAACUGAGAAUAAUACUCCAUAGAUCUUUGAGGCUGGAAUGCGCUUAGAUUGAAAGCUUCGGCGCCUAAGGAUGAGUCUGCGGACUAUCAGGUAGUAGUCAGGGUAAAGACCUGGCUAGCCUACGACGGAUACGGGUUGUGAGAGCAAUAACCCGGAGAUGAUAUCUGAGACACGAUAUCAGGCCCUACGGGGCGCAGCAGGCGCGAAAACUUCACAAUGCGCGAAAGCGCGAUGAGGGGAUCCCAAGUGCUUGCACGUAAGUGUAAGCUGUUUUUCUGUCUAAAAAGCAGAGAGAGUAAGGGCUGGGUAAGACGGGUGCCAGCCGCCGCGGUAAUACCUGCAGCUCAAGUGGUGGCCGCUAUUAUUGGGCCUAAAACGUCCGUAGCCGGCUGAGUAAAUGCCUGGGUAAAUCGUGUGGCUUAACCAUACGAAUUCCGGGUAGACUGCUCAGCUUGGGACCGGAAGAAGUUAGAGGUACUCCUGGGGUAGGGGUGAAAUCCUGUAAUCCUGGGGGGGACCACCAGUGGCGAAGGCGUCUAACUAGGACGGGUCUGACGGUGAGGGACGAAGCCCUGGGGCGCAAACCGGAUUAGAUACCCGGGUAGUCCAGGGUGUAAACGCUGCUUGCUUGAUGUUAGCUGGGCUCCGAGCUCGGCUAGUGUCGGAGAGAAGUUGUUAAGCAAGCUGCCUGGGAAGUACGGUCGCAAGACUGAAACUUAAAG